GCCCCCGUAGAUCAGCGGUAGAUCUUCAUCUCGUAGGCCAUGGUCAGACGUGUUAUGAAGACGUUGUAGGUUCGAAUCCUACCGAGGGCA